ensembl:snoRNA
UAUUUGAGAUGAUGCCAAUCAUCUUUCAGGAUUGACCUGAAAUGAAGAGAUUAAUCAUCACUGAUCACUA